rnacentral:rRNA from 1 species
UACGGGGGGGCAAGCGUUGUUCGGAAUUACUGGGCGUAAAGGCUCGUAGGCGGCCAACUAAGUCAGACGUGAAAUCCCUCGGCUUAACCGGGAACUGCAUCUGAUACUGGAUGGCUUGAGUUCGGGAGAGGGAUGCGGAAUUCCAGGUGUAGCGGUGAAAUGCGUAGAUAUCUGGAGGAACACCGGUGGCGAAGGCGGCAUCCUGGACCGGCACUGACGCUGAGGAGCGAAAGCCAGGGAGCAAACG